UAGAAAUCGGUGUCUCUUGAGGCAACUC
rnacentral:piRNA from 1 species